CACACUAGUAAGGGUCAGGAUGAUGACAGAGAGUUUAGAACACACUCAUGAAGGUGGAGGAUCACAGACCUGCUUUAAGUUUGGGCUUGCUUGGGCAACUGUGAUGGGAUUGCUUACUGUGACUUCAGCAGGCUUCAUCAUUCAUCACUUCCAGGAGACUACACCAUGUGAUCAGGCCGCUCCACUAGUGGGAAAAACAGCGAAGGUGAAUUUAACUUGCAAACCACAAGAGACCAAUGAAACUGGAAGAUAUGACAUCUUCACAGUGGAGAAGGGUGCACAUUAUUUAAUCUAUGGAUGGAUGACAUUCUCAAAUGUCACAAAUGAAACGCUGACUUUGAUACAAAGGCGGGAAGGAUCUGAGACAACCUUCCAAAGUGAGAUUUUAAACAGGACAGAAAUCUUCUUUUUUAGAAAAGGUUUGCUUGCAGACACCACAACAAUAAGUAUUCGCUUAAAAUCUCAUUACACAAACAGCGCUUUCCAUGUCUAUCAGCUCUGACAAAGAUGACAUCAAAAUCUGCACACUUCUCCAUGUCCAAACCUGUUUGUGCACAUAUUAUGCAAUUUCUACAUGUGCAUACUUAAAUGAGUUUUGUCAGAAAGUAUAUAGUUUCGUGGUAGUGUUGCAUCAACUUUGGAUAGAGAGGAAAUAAUGUGACUUUCACCUGAAGCUAAACUGAGUAAGCUGAGUGAAAGCUGCAGGCGCAGCAGGUUUGUACAAACGGGGAAAAAGCCACACUAGUUAUUAAAUGCUGACUCAUGAUCUUUUGUCAUCCAUCAUUCUGAUAAUUUAGCACAAACCACAAAAUAGUUUCUUGUUCAACUAUCUUUCAUCUCUGAAUGACUAUUUUUGUCUGUGAAGAAGAACCUGUCCAGUUUUGUUUUCCAUUUUGCACUAAGGGGGUUUCAAUUAUUGUACAAAGCUGUAUAAUAAACACAAGUAGAGCAAGUAGUGUUGAACACAAUGUUUCCAAGUCUGCUUUUGUUUCUUUCAAUAAUCCUUUGGCAUUUUUGUUCAAUUUCUUUAGUUCUGUUUGAGUUCAUAAGUGGGUAUUAGUUUUAAUCAGGGGUGCUGUGUGCUCUCUCCAAGUAACUUAAUUUUUUCUUGUUUUGAUAAUUAAAGCUGACUUAAUAUAGCAAAUUGUGUAAAGCAACUUUGUAUUGUUUUAUUUAAAA